UCACCCCCCUUGGCUGUCCCACCCCUCCCUAGACCCCUCAACAUUCAGGCUGGUAAAAUGAGGCUGCAGUGAAGAGUCCUGGGCUCUGAGGAUGGGAGGCUCAUUGUUGCUGGGAGCAGAAAAGCUGGCCCACUGUUGACACAUGGUCUCCAGCUCCUCUUCCACCCUCAAAGUUUAAUUCCUCUGAACCUGCUCCUUCCCCACCCUUCUAGGAGAGCAACCCUGAAUUGAUCACUGCCAUUUUGACAUUCUUCUUUUCUUUAUUUUUCUAAUGUGAGAUUCUGAAACCUCUUCUUACCACCCCACACAAUUGGGUUAGCCCCAGAUCCUGCCUUAGGGCACAAAGAUUUGCCUCUCAGAAUUCCUUCCUUGCCUUUUUUAAAGGCCUGACCAGGGUCUUUGUGGUUGGAAUGGGGGUGUGUUAGGAGUGGCGAUGGGAGGCUGGAGUGCGAAAGCUACAAGCAAGGGCAAUAAACUGGGGGCCCACUGGGGCAGAUGUCUUAAUGGAGAGAGCAGAGAUGAAGAGAAAAUCCCUCAGCAGGUUGAGAGUGACUUCUGCAGGCUCAGGGCACAAAGCGAGAUCUCUUUGCACAGAAUUUCGAUCAUCCUUGCUACUUAAGACCCCCAAAAUGGUGGAACCCAGGGGUACAGAGAGCUAAGGAAGGAAAACUCCAUACUUGAGAUGCCUUCUUGAGCCAGCAGUGGCAGUAGUGGUGGUGGAGGCAACAGUUAGAUGAACUGACUGGUCCUGACCACACAGUGUCAAAAUAGAGAAUGGAGAGCAGGUCUGCUGUUUACCAAAGAAGACCGAAACAUGGCCCACGUGUCCAAUCCUUGCUUGGAGGAGGAGCCGGGAGGAUACCCUUGAUGAACUGCUCUCAGAUUGUUGGUCUAUGAAGGAGGUUAAUACAUGUCAGUUUGACAUUGUAUCAUUGAAUCAGAAUUGAACAUCAGAAAGAGUAAAAUUCCCAGGCCUUUUUUACCCUAGCCUGGGUACAAGCUCAAGAUGAUGCAGAAGGAGGAGCAAAGCAUGGGAUCCAAGAAAGUUAAGUUCCAGCUCAGGUCGAAGAGAAUCAUGUCUGUGAUCUGUGUCUUUGGUUUCUUCAUCUACAGCUGUCAUCUUGUGGGCUGGAGCAUGGUGGCCAGGAAGUGUGCAAGGGGCUCUGGUGUCCAUGCAGCCCUCAUAGACCUGAGGAGACUACUCUUUUGAGCUUCUGACCACCCAUCAGCAUUGGAUUAGAGAUUCUGGACUAAAUGACUUUCUCCAGGAAUAGUUGCUGGUGGACAAAAC
rnacentral:lncRNA from 1 species